GCGCGGGUGGCGGAAUGGUAGACGCGCUAGCUUGAGGUGCUAGUGCCCGAAUAGGGCGUGCGGGUUCAAGUCCCGCUCCGCGCA
rnacentral:tRNA from 1 species